ACUGCUUCCUGGUCUUUUGGCUAAGAUCAAGUGCGAUAUGUGUUCUUAGCAGUUUACUAUCUGAUAUGUUCUCUACCCAAGGACAGCAUUCUAAUUGGAUUUUUGGAUCAAGGAGCUGGAACAGGAGCUUGCUCUAUCCACUCCAUGCAUCAACCUGGUACUGCAUGCAGUACCUCUAAGAGUACACUAAAC